GGNUNNUUUUGUCCCNCCAGCCNNGGUANAAAANGGUUUUCANGNNUUUUUGGAUUCAUUGGGCGUAAAGGGUGCGUAGGUGGCGCCGUAAGUCAGGUGUGAAAUCUCGGGGCUCAACCCCGAAACUGCACUUGAUACUGCGGUGCUCGAGUACUGGAGAGGAGAUUGGAAUUUACGGUGUAGCAGUGAAAUGCGUAGAUAUCGUAAGGAAGACCAGUGGCGAAGGCGAAUCUCUGGACAGUUACUGACACUGAGGCACGAAGGCCAGGGGAGCAAACGGGAUUAGAUACCCCGGUAGUCCUGGCAGUAAACGGUGCGCGUUUGGUGUGGGAGGAUUCGACCCCUUUCUGUGCCGGAGCUAACGCGUUAAACGCGCCGCCUGGGGAGUACGGUCGCAAGAUUAAAACUCAAAGAAAUUGACGGGGGCCCGCACAAGCGGUGGAGUAUGUGGCUUAAUUCGAUGCAACGCGAAGAACCUUACCUGGCCUUGACAUGCAUCUCUAAGUCGGUGAAAGCCGGCGAGUGUAGCAAUACACAAUUUGCACAGGUGCUGCA
rnacentral:rRNA from 1 species